GAGUUUGAUCAUGGCUCAGGAUGAACGCUAGCGGCAGGCUUAACACAUGCAAGUCGAGGGGUAUAGUUCUUCGGAACUAGAGACCGGCGCACGGGUGCGUAACGCGUAUGCAAUCUACCUUUUACAGAGGGAUAGCCCAGAGAAAUUUGGAUUAAUACCUCAUAGUAUUACGACCUGGCAUCAGGAUGUAAUUAAAGUCACAACGGUAAAAGAUGAGCAUGCGUCCCAUUAGUUAGUUGGUAAGGUAACGGCUUACCAAGACUACGAUGGGUAGGGGUCCUGAGAGGGAGAUCCCCCACACUGGUACUGAGACACGGACCAGACUCCUACGGGAGGCAGCAGUGAGGAAUAUUGGACAAUGGGCGCAAGCCUGAUCCAGCCAUGCCGCGUGCAGGAUGACGGUCCUAUGGAUUGUAAACUGCUUUUGCACAGGAAGAAACACUCGGACGUGUCCGAGCUUGACGGUACUGUGAGAAUAAGGAUCGGCUAACUCCGUGCCAGCAGCCGCGGUAAUACGGAGGAUCCAAGCGUUAUCCGGAAUCAUUGGGUUUAAAGGGUCCGUAAGCGGUCAGAUAAGUCAGUGGUGAAAGCCCAUCGCUCAACGGUGGAACGGCCAUUGAUACUGUCUGACUUGA
rnacentral:rRNA from 1 species